UCCCACUCCCUCCUUCCCUGCCUUCUCUCUUCCUCUUCUUUUUGUCCCAGACCUGUCAUUUCACUGGUACAGGUAAAUGUCGAUGAAGACACUUCCUCUCCGGAUGCAGGUCAGUAACUCUUCGGUGACCGAUAGUCUUAGAAAGCUGUCUGAGGGCACUGAGAGAGAAAUCCAGGUGGCCCAGUGCGGAUGUGUCAUCGGUAGGACUUGCACCCAGAUCUCACUGGCCCUGAGGACAGCUCUGUGUCUACCCCCUUAUACUCCCCACCCAGCAGUAUGCCCUGGGUACUUCCUAAGUGUUUCUUAACUUCUGACCGCUGGCCCAGGGGCACCGAUAAAAUCCUCGGCUGAGCUGUGCCCCGGCCAGCCAGCCAGCCAGCGGGGGCCCUCUCACCGCUUUGGCUUCCUGCUCAACAGACUCGGGACGGGGUGUGGCCCUUGAGGAUGGACGCGCUGGCAGUGACAUUGUCAGCAGAGCCCGCCACUCUGUGGAAAUCCGAAUGGCGCUUUCCUGUGGGCCAUCGACGCUCUAAUGAUCACUUGGAGCUCCAGGACAGAUGUCUGCCAUUCCUGGGCUCAGUGGCUUUCGGAAAAGCCUUUUUGUUUUGGUGGCAUCAGCAGGAAAAGAGGAAAUUAGUUGGAAACGAGGCUCCGUUAAAACAAUAGUUGGAGGCGGCCGAGCUUGGAUAAACAGUCCCUGCUGCUGCCCCAGCAUCAGCAGGGGGCCUGGAGCCCCGCUCUUUGUGAUCUGACCUGAUGAGGCCAGCAGCCUGGCGCCCACGAAGGGUCUGCUCAGAAGCAUCAGCUGACGGCCGAGGCAGGGCCGGGCACCGAGCGGCUGCUCCGAGUGCCGAGCCAAUCGGUUUGAGAGAGCCCUCCAGUUCUGGCUGCCUCAGCAACCUGCAGGUCCCAGCUCUUGGGCUGGCCAGCUGCUUGGCUCUGGGCAGUGUGAGCUCAGCACGCCCGGGGCCCCCUACGAGACCCUUCGGUCCCUGCCAGCUUUUCCUGAUCAUCCUAGGAAAAAUGGGAAUGAAAUGGGACAAGACCUUCAAAGAGAGAUAA
rnacentral:lncRNA from 1 species